CCCGGCGCCAAAAAGCGGGAACGCGGCGAGAACUUGAGCGCGACACCCCGGACUCCCCCGGCGGAGGCCAGGCGCAGCCCGUCUCAGCGGCGCGGCGGCGACCCGCGGGGCUCCGGGAAGAGCGGGCACCACCAGCCGCCCCGCUGGCCGCCGCCGGCAACUUUUCCUCCCUCCCGCCGCCACCCGCCCCUCGCCGCGCCGCCCCGGGUCAUCCGUUGCCCGCCCGCCCCCCGCAGCCGCCACCCCGCGCCCCCGGCCACCGCCCGCAGCGCCCCGCUACCCACCUCGGCUGCGAAGUGACGGGGGUCCCCCCGCUGCCGCCGCGGAGCCGCUUUUCCCCCUCUCCCCUCCUCCCCGCUCCGGUCGCCGCCUCUGCCCGGAGCCGGAUACGGAGAGAAACUGAUUCGCGUGGCCGCUUCCCUCGUUCUUCGCGCCGCCUCCCUCGGCGGAGCGCUCGGCAGCGGCCCCGAGCAGGCAAAACGCCGGCAGCGCCGAGGGCAGAGGCGCCCCGGCCACCCCCGCUCGGAAACUCUCCGGGGAAAGCAGCGCGAGCGAGCCCGGCUCCCCGCCGCCCCGCGCUGCCAAUCACGGGGGCGGCCCCGCGCGGAUUGGGCGGCCCCGCCGCCAGCAACCCCCCCUCCGGCAACUCGGGGCGCGCCGCCGGGGGCAGGACCCGCGGUCACCGCGCUGCGACGAGGAAGGGAGCCGCGGGGCCGGCGGCAAAUUCCUCCACGCGCGCCCUCGCGUCCCCGGUGCUCCCGCCGCCCCUCCGGCGCUGCGCCGUCGCCCGGCGAGACCUGCCCGCCCCCAGCGGCCCCGCCGGAGCCCCCCGCCGCGUGGGCAGGAAGGGCGGGGGCCGGCGGCCGUUCCGCGCUGUGAGGCGAUACCUCGGCUGCAGCCUGGUGAGGGCUUCCCCGAGAUUUUCCUUUCAUGAGUAAAACUAUUAAAGAGUGUCCAAAUGAAAGCUACAAAGACGGUGAAGGUCUACAGAGGAAGAUGUAUGAGGAGCAGCUGAGUUGCCUUGGUUUGCUCAGCCCAGAACAGAGAAGCUGAGGGGAGGCCUGAUGGCAGCUGCAGCUCUCACAAGGAGUGGAGGGACAGCGCUGAGCUCUGCUGUCUGACAGUGACAGGGCCUGAGGGAACGGCAUGGGGCUGUGUCAGGGGAGGGCAGGUUGGGUGUCAUCAGAAGGUGGUAGGCAUGGAAUUGGCUGCCCAGGGCAGUGGUCAUGGCACCGAGCUGAUGGAGUUCAAGAAGCAUCUGGACAACGCUCUCAGACACAUGGUCUGAUUUUUGGGUGGUGCUAUGUGGACUCCAUGAUCCUUAUGUGUCCCUUACAACUUGGGUCAUUCUAUGAUUCUAUGAAUGUGGUUAUUCAGAUGUGUUUUGAACUACUGCCAUACACAAAAUGAAACAUUUCUGAUAAACCAAAGUCUCAGAAGUGGCCACAAAAUUGGCCUUUGCUUAUUGAUACCUUGCUUAUCCUCGCAAGCUCAAGUUUCCAAAGCAGGUCAUGUAAUAUAAAUGCAAACCAUGUACUUUCUUUGCCAUAACUUUUGAAUGUCAUUGAGUGAAGAAACUUUCUUGCUAUUAUUCAAUGUUGGCCUCAGCAGGCCUUAUUUGUUUACUUGUUAAAUGAAAUAAGGAUUAUAAUGGAAUCAAAAGACACUUUUGUGACAAUAUUUAACUAUGAGAAGUUGCUGCCAUGUGCACAUAUUAGCUAUUUCCAUAAAAUCCUAUUAAAUAUCAGAGUUCCACAGCUAAGCUAAUAUUACCCAUUGAACUUUUCUAACUCAAAUAGCGUGGCAGCAGAAACCUGCCAAGAAACAAACCAUGUUUAAGUCCCAAACCAGUAAUUACAUGACCAGUAUUUAAAUAAACCAAAUACUAUUAGGAUGUUUUUACUAAUA
rnacentral:lncRNA from 1 species